GACGAACGCUGGCGGCGUGCUUAACACAUGCAAGUCGAACGCUGAAGCUCAGCUUUUGUUGGGUGGAUGAGUGGCGAACGGGUGAGUAACACGUGAGUAACCUGCCCCCUUCUUUGGGAUAACGCCCGGAAACGGGUGCUAAUACUGGAUAUUCACUGGUCUUCGCAUGGGGGUUGGUGGAAAGGGUUUUUCUGGUGGGGGAUGGGCUCGCGGCCUAUCAGCUUGUUGGUGGGGUGAUGGCCUACCAAGGCUUUGACGGGCAGCCGGCCUGAGAGGGUGACCGGUCACAUUGGGACUGAGAUACGGCCCAGACUCCUACGGGAGGCAGCAGUGGGGAAUAUUGCACAAUGGGCGCAAGCCUGAUGCAGCGACGCCGCGUGAGGGAUGGAGGCCUUCGGGUUGUGAACCUCUUUCGCUCAUGGUCAAGCCGCAACAAUGGUUGUGGAGAGGGUAGUGGGUAAAGAAGCGCCGGCUAACUACGUG
rnacentral:rRNA from 1 species